AAAAUGCGAUAAGUAAUGUGAAUUGCAGAAUUCAGUGAAUCAUCGAAUCUUUGAACGCACAUUGCGCCCGCCAGUAUUCUGGCGGGCAUGCCUGUUCGAGCGUCAUUUCAACCCUCAAGCCCCCGGGUUUGGUGUUGGGGAUCGGGCUACGGUUCUACCGCGUCCCGGCCCCGAAAUCUAGUGGCGGUCUCGCUGCAGCCUCCAUUGCGUAGUAGCUAACACCUCGCAACUGGAACGCGGCGCGGCCAAGCCGUUAAACCCCCAACUUCUGAAUGUUGACCUCGGAUCAGGUAGGAAUACCCGCUGAACUUAAGC
rnacentral:misc_RNA from 1 species